rnacentral:rRNA from 1 species
GACGAACGCUGGCGGCGUGCUUAACACAUGCAAGUCGAACGCUGGCGCUUGGUGCUUGCUCUGGGUGGAUGAGUGGCGAACGGGUGAGUCAUACGUAAGUACCCUGCCCUUGACGCUGGGAUAAGCCUGGGCAACUUGGUCCAAUACACGAUCUGACAUGCAACUGCAUGGUUGUGUGUGGAAAGGGUUUUACUGGUUUUGGAUGGGCUCACGGCCUAUCAGCUUGUUGGUGGGGUAAUGGCCUACCAAGGCGACGCUGGGUAGCCGGCCUGAGAGGGUGACCGACGACACUGGGACUGAGACACGGCACAGACUCCUACGUGAGGCAGCAGUGGGGAAUAUUGCACAAUGGGCGGAAGCCUGAUGCAGCGACGCCGCGUGAGGGAAAACGGCCUUCGGGUGGUAAACCUCUUUCAGCACGGAAGAAGCGAGAGUGACGGUACGUGCAGAAGAAGCGCCGGCUAACUACGUG